AUGCUUUAUGAUCAAAUGAUCAAGUGCAGCUCCCCCAGCCAGCAGGCUACUUGUUGCUUCUCAGAGUUGAGUUUGACCAUGGUUCGUCAAGGAACGCAUGAGCAGAACGAGCCUGGAGUUGGAGCCGCCGGUGCUGGUGCCGGAGAGGAAGUCGAGGUUCUGGGCGGACUGGAGGUUCUGCCCCGAUACGGGGUGCGGCGAGAUACGGCCGCCGGAGAUGGGCCCGGCCUGCCACACCGUGUUCUGCGACGUGGUGUUGCCCGGCAGCGCCACGGUGGCGUAGAUGGUGUAGGCGCCGCCGGCGUACUCGGCGCUGGCCGGGACGGGCACGUCGAAGGAGAGGGCGGUGUUGUCGAGGGUGGGGGCCGUGGUCCUCAGGAUGGUGGUGAGCACGGACACGGCGCCGCCGCUCUGCGAGGCGACGAACACGUUGCUGCCGGCCAUGCCGCUGCCGCUGGGGUUGAUGCCCCAGCCGACCCACCCGUCGGCGCCGGACGGCGCCCGGAAGGCGAUGUCGGCCGUGCCGUUCCCGGCGUGGUACGUCCAGUGGAGGCUGGCGCCGAGCACGGGCAGCUGGUUGCACUUGAGGAACGUCCGGCCCCCCGUGAAGGUCGCGGAGAGGCAGCCGCUCUGCGCCGCCGCGCCCGCCGCGAAGAGGAGCACCAGGAGGGGGAGCCACGCCGUGGAGUGGCCUGGCCGCGCCAUGGCAGCGAUGGAGGUCAGAGCAGGAGGUUGGAGGGGCGAAAUGGAGCGCGGGAGGCGGAGGAGGUGGUGGAGCGGAGGGAGCUGGUGGUGGUGAGAGGAGGAGGCGGGGGGAGGAGGUAUAUGUACCGACCGGCGACGCGAGGGCGCGGUUGUUGGGGAGGCUGCCGUGCGGGUGGAAACUUCCAUGCCGGUACGCGGGAGGGACAGAGUCUCCUUGGCUGCUGA
rnacentral:rRNA from 1 species